GGCAGGAGGAAAAUUAAUAAACUUCAAUGGCUGUCAGAAAACCUGGUUUGAUUGCUUUAUUUGAUGUUGAUGGAACUCUUACAGCUCCAAGAAAGGUGGCUACUCCCAAGAUGUUAGAGUUCAUGAAGGAACUGAAGAAGGUUGUUACUGUUGGAGUAGUGGGUGGAUCUGACCUCACUAAAAUAUCUGAGCAACUUGGGAAAU